AGAGUUUGAUCCUGGCUCAGAUUGAACGCUGGCGGCAUGCCUUACACAUGCAAGUCGAACGGCAGCACGGGAGCUUGCUCCUGGUGGCGAGUGGCGAACGGGUGAGUAAUAUAUCGGAACGUACCCUAGAGUGGGGGAUAACGUAGCGAAAGUUACGCUAAUACCGCAUACGAUCUACGGAUGAAAGUGGGGGAUCGCAAGACCUCAUGCUCAUGGAGCGGCCGAUAUCUGAUUAGCUAGUUGGUGGGGUAAAAGCUCACCAAGGCGACGAUCAGUAGCUGGUCUGAGAGGACGACCAGCCACACUGGAACUGAGACACGGUCCAGACUCCUACGGGAGGCAGCAGUGGGGAAUUUUGGACAAUGGGCGCAAGCCUGAUCCAGCAAUGCCGCGUGAGUGAAGAAGGCCUUCGGGUUGUAAAGCUCUUUUGUCAGGGAAGAAACGGUUCGGGCUAAUAUCCUGGCUAAUGACGGUACCUGAAGAAUAAGCACCGGCUAACUACGUGCCAGCAGCCGCGGUAAUACGUAGGGUGCAAGCGUUAAUCGGAAUUACUGGGCGUAAAGCGUGCGCAGGCGGUUGUGCAAGACAGAUGUGAAAUCCCCGGGCUCAACCUGGGAAUUGCAUUUGUGACUGCACGGCUAGAGUGUGUCAGAGGGGGGUAGAAUUCCACGUGUAGCAGUGAAAUGCGUAGAGAUGUGGAGGAAUACCGAUGGCGAAGGCAGCCCCCUGGGAUAACACUGACGCUCAUGCACGAAAGCGUGGGGAGCAAACAGGAUUAGAUACCCUGGUAGUCCACGCCCUAAACGAUGUCUACUAGUUGUCGGGUCUUAAUUGACUUGGUAACGCAGCUAACGCGUGAAGUAGACCGCCUGGGGAGUACGGUCGCAAGAUUAAAACUCAAAGGAAUUGACGGGGACCCGCACAAGCGGUGGAUGAUGUGGAUUAAUUCGAUGCAACGCGAAAAACCUUACCUACCCUUGACAUGUCUGGAAUCCUUGAGAGAUCAGGGAGUGCUCGAAAGAGAAUCAGAACACAGGUGCUGCAUGGCUGUCGUCAGCUCGUGUCGUGAGAUGUUGGGUUAAGUCCCGCAACGAGCGCAACCCUUGUCAUUAGUUGCUACGAAAGGGCACUCUAAUGAGACUGCCGGUGACAAACCGGAGGAAGGUGGGGAUGACGUCAAGUCCUCAUGGCCCUUAUGGGUAGGGCUUCACACGUCAUACAAUGGUACAUACAGAGGGCCGCCAACCCGCGAGGGGGAGCUAAUCCCAGAAAGUGUAUCGUAGUCCGGAUUGUAGUCUGCAACUCGACUACAUGAAGUUGGAAUCGCUAGUAAUCGCGGAUCAGCAUGUCGCGGUGAAUACGUUCCCGGGUCUUGUACACACCGCCCGUCACACCAUGGGAGCGGGUUUCACCAGAAGUGGGUAGCCUAACCGCAAGGAGGGCGCUCACCGCGGUGGGAUUCGUGACUGGGGUGAAGUCGUAACAAGGUA
rnacentral:rRNA from 1 species